CGAAUUUCCAAUAUCGAGUAGCCUAGUUUGCGGCCUUCCGGCCUGGAGGCGAAAGUUGGCAGGGCAUUUCCCAAAUGUGUCCUUUAGGCUUACAGGUUGUUUUAGUUUCAACCUGCACACUAAACACUAAACACAUGGCUGGCUUCAUUUAAGACCAAACAUUUGUCCGACCCUGCUGAAAGACGCCCUCGACCCUAAACAUGAAAUUACAGGCGGCCAGAGUUGAAGCUCCAAGCAGGCUGAAGUAAACCAGACUGGAACAGAUAUGCAUCUCUACAGUCCUUGGGGGAAAGAGUUGUACUCAAGCAGGAUAUGUGGUAUUGCGGUGGAGCAGCUAUGUUACCUGCUGAUUCUGAUACGCUGUGACGGUGGUGAACACGGUCUCAGGGAAAGCGAAGGUGCGGGUUCCCUCUCCAGCAGGCACAGCUCUCACUGGGGAUAACUCCUCUCCACACUCCUUACGGAUCACAUGGACCCUUGGCUGGUACUUGUGCAUGGAGUGCAGAAUGAUCUGAACACAUAAAGAAAUAUUCCUUCAGGCUUAAAUUGCACAACAGCUCUUCAAUUUAACUCAAAGCUGUAAAACACGAUUGUUAUAUAACAGACAUGCACACAUGUGGAUGCGUAGAAACAUGCGGAAAAUUGGAGUUUAUUUGGCUUAUUCCAUCUUUUAAAAUCUUAAAAGCUACUGCAUUAUUAUUGCAAAGAAACUUGAUACAAGAUUAUGAUCAAUGAUUAAAUCAUACAUACCAACUGUAACUGUAAAAUGCCAGAUAAUAAAGAUAUUUCAAAUGAC